rnacentral:rRNA from 1 species
AGUGAACGCUGGCGGUAGGCCUAACACAUGCAAGUCGAACGGCAGCACAGUAAGAGCUUGCUCUUACGGGUGGCGAGUGGCGGACGGGUGAGGAAUACAUCGGAAUCUACCUUUUCGUGGGGGAUAACGUAGGGAAACUUACGCUAAUACCGCAUACGACCUACGGGUGAAAGCAGGGGAUCUUCGGACCUUGCGCGAUUGAAUGAGCCGAUGUCGGAUUAGCUAGUUGGCGGGGUAAAGGCCCACCAAGGCGACGAUCCGUAGCUGGUCUGAGAGGAUGAUCAGCCACACUGGAACUGAGACACGGUCCAGACUCCUACGGGAGGCAGCAGUGGGGAAUAUUGGACAAUGGGCGCAAGCCUGAUCCAGCCAUACCGCGUGGGUGAAGGAGGCCUUCGGGUUGUAAAGCCCUUUUGUUGGGAAAGAAAAGCAGCAGGUUAAUACCCCGCUGUUCUGACGGUACCCAAAGAAUAAGCACCGGCUAACUUCGUG